rnacentral:sRNA from 1 species
UAAACGUAUAACAUUUAGCUGUGUAUUCUUUUUAGCGACUUCUGCUUAUUCAAAUAUAUUGUUAAAUGCCUUUGAUAAAUGUAUUAGAAACUGCACAUUAAGAAAGACGCAAAUUCAGAUCCAAGCUAAUUUGUUGAAAAAUCAUUUUCUGCCAAAUAUGGUACAGGCUUAAUAUAAUACAUGUAUGUUUACAGUAUUAUAUCCCUAUCUUUUAACCUUAAAAUUUGACUGGUUCUCUAUUUCUUUAUACAGAGUUCUUCUUCUUUAAGAGAUUCAUAUAGUCUAAAAAUGGCAAUGACCACCCAGCCCACUUGACUUUAACUUUAUAGCUUUUCAUAUUAUCAUUGCAUUGUAAUAAUGUUGUAAGACUAAAGACAGACAAAAAUGAUAAGUCAGUGCUUCAUAUUAUUUAACAUUUUCAGCUUUUAUUAGCCUUAUGCUUCAUAUUUUCCCACAAAAGGUGUUUUAGUUUUAAGGAUUGCCUAAAACAAGCUGGUCUUGUUUUUUUUAUUUAGUGCAUUAAAUACUUUUUGUCUUCAUUUCAUAACAUGGACAAUAGAUUAACAAUCACUGCCAACUAAGAGGGGGUUGUUCUUCGUCAUUCAUCAGUUUAUCUGCCAAAUUUGUGUUUUAAUUACUGUGUGAUGUUGUAUUUUUAAGUUUCCAGCAAUCAAUAUUGUCCACAAUCAAUAUGAUUUAAUUUUUCAUUAAUUAAAUUAUUUUAUGUUUGAUAACUACUGUUCCGUUUUUCUGCAUUAUGUUCCCUUUUACAAUGAGUUCUAAUGGAUCGUGUAUUGUGUGCUUGCUAUUAGAAUGACGACAAUUUCAUAAAAACAGAGCACUAUUGGAACUUGGAAUUGGACAAAAAUCCAAGAAAAAAUACAGUUGAACUUUGAUAUCUCGAACACCAAUACACAUGUAUCUCAUAUACAAUGGAUAUGUCGAAGUGAUUUUUAAGUCCUAACCACCUAUUUUUUAAGUAUUUUACCCGCGAUAUCUCGAAUACUCUGAUAUCCUGAAGUUUUUCAACAGCCCCACGUAGUUCGAGAUAACGAAGUUUUACAGUAUUUCCAAAUUCCAGUAAAACUCUGUAGCAACAGUUCUUGUGUUGGUUUAAUACCUUGGCCAUGUUGAUAUUUUUUACACAUUCCAUGUCUGAGGCAUUAUAAGUGUUAGUCAAAAUACUCAGUCGCCAUUUUAAAGUAGCUUGCUAUUUUUCCAAUGUUUUAAUUUUUUGUUAAUUAUGUGAAUUUUAAAUUUAUUUCACUCCGCAUCAAUUUAAUGGAAAAUAUUUCUAAAUUAAGUUAUGAAUAAUUAUGUACCGUAACUGUUGAUACACAUGUAGUAAGAAAAUUAUAUAGACAUGAUUGAUGAAAGAUGAUGAUGUAUAAUACAUUAAGUUGAAUUUCAAUAAAUUGGAAUGGUCUUUUUUAAUAAGUUUUUUUCUGGUUAGCUGCUUAAAAGACAUAUUUUCAUGCAUUUGAGAAGUAUUAUAUAUUUUCAUUCCAAAUGUAACAUUUUCACAAGAAAUAGCUAUUUCUGUGUACCAUGAUGAACAAUAUUUAUUUUAUUUUAUUUGUGAAUCAUGAUUCAUACUUCAUCUUUAGAGAUUUUGAAAUAUUGUAUAUUUGUACCAGACUCAUUAUGACUUAAUUUGUCUUCUGUGAAAAGUUGCUUCCCACCAGUAUUGUACUUGGUUGUAUUUGUUUGUAAUAAAUUUGAUUAUCAGUG